rnacentral:snRNA from 1 species
GUGCUCCCUUUGGCAGCACAUAUACUAAAAUUGGAAUGAUACAGAAAUGAUUAGCAUGGCCCCUGUGCAAGGAUGACACGAAUAUUUGUGAAGCAUUCCAUAAAAAC